AUUGAACGCUGGCGGCAUGCUUUACACAUGCAAGUCGAACGGUAACAGGCCGCAAGGUGCUGACGAGUGGCGAACGGGUGAGUAAUGCAUCGGAACGUGCCCAGUCGUGGGGGAUAACUACUCGAAAGAGUAGCUAAUACCGCAUACGAUCUAUGGAUGAAAGCGGGGGACCGUAAGGCCUCGCGCGAUUGGAGCGGCCGAUGUCAGAUUAGGUAGUUGGUGGGGUAAAGGCUCACCAAGCCAACGAUCUGUAGCUGGUCUGAGAGGACGAACAGCCCCACUGGGACUUGGACACCGCCCAAACCCCUACGGGAGGCCGCAGUGGGGAAUUUUGGACAAUGGGCGGAAGCCUUGUCCAACCAUGCCGCGGGCAGGAAAGAGGCCUUCGGGUUGUAAACUUCUUUUGUACGGGACGAAACGGCUCUGGUUAAUACCCGGGGCUAAUGACGGUACCGUAAGAAUAAGCACCGGCUAACUACGUG
rnacentral:rRNA from 1 species